ACUUCCUCAGAUACUUCCAACUCCCAAAAGCAGGAGGGAAAUUUCCAAGUUUCAUAUGCAUCACUGAGAGUCUCAAAUGAGGGAGGGGUUGCCCUGGUGGAGGCCUCCCUGAUCCCCAGGGAAGGGCUGCCUGCUUCAUGGAGCUUUCCAGUUGUAAGGAACCUAUGGACCUCCCUCCUGUGUGUAAGGGACAUUUAGGCCUCCCUUCUGCAUAGCUUUUAGGUGCUAUCAAGGGGCAGCAAGGGCUUGGGGUCUGUUAAAAGAGAAUUUAUUGUUCUUCUAGUCCAAACCUCCCACUUCACAGUGGAGGCUCUGGGAAGGAAGGAAACCUGCUUGGCUAGCCUUGCGGCUGUCCUUUAGCUCUGGUGGGAUUUCCUUACUCAGGUUGCUUCCUGAGGACCCCCUGGAUAAGGCAUGGCCCUGGCUUUCAACACAACAGGGUCGCAUGGGUGAAGUGCUCCAGAAGCAACUGAGAGAAAAGGCUAAAGGAAUUCAGAGGACAGAGCAGUGAGGGUGGAGGAAAUCCCAGAGGGCCUCUAGAGGAGACGGGACUUGGGCUGCAUCUUCAAGAAUCAGGAACAGCAUUCCUGGAAGAGGAAUUCAUCAGUUAAGUCACUUAAUCUACACAUUAAGUGUCUUCUCCAUGAUUAUACAGCUAGUAAUGGAAGAGCUAGGAUUUGGACCCCGGCAAUCUGACCCCAGAGCCCACUCUCUUAAGCAGUACACUAUGAAUGAAUGAAAGGAAUGAAUGAAAUGCAAGCAUCAGCUUGGCUGGAGCUGAAGAUUGGGGUGGCUCUGCUGUGGCCUAGCACGCUGGUGAGGAAGAACAAGGUGAGCUCUGCCUUGGGCAGAUCCCUGUGGCCUGAAAUUCUGGAACCAAUGG
rnacentral:lncRNA from 10 species